CGAAAAAGCACAAAAUCAUUUGCUGACUGAAGAUUCUCUGUUAUCGAAUAUUCGAAUCUUUACUAGAAAUUAAGCAAGAAUGAUUUUUCGUCUGAACGUUUGUUUGUUGUUGAUCUUUGUGACAGGCGUUGUUGUUGGUGCUCGUCAUGAACAAGAUACGCAAGGGCAAGUGAUUAAUCCGUGUUUUGCGAACGGUGGAAGUUGUGUGUCACCCCAUGUCAGCUGUGUGGAUCAUUUGGAGCAAUAUGAUAUGUAUUGUCCAGAUGAUGAACAAUGCUGCCGAGUAAUCGGCGAUUAAGUUGGCA